rnacentral:rRNA from 1 species
UACCGCGUGAGUGAAGAGGCCUCUGGGUUGUAAAGCUCUUUUGUAGGGGAAGAUAAUGACUGUACCCUAAGAAUAAGGUCCGGCUAACUUCGUGCCAGCAGCCGCGGUAAUACGAAGGGACCUAGCGUAGUUCGGAAUUACUGGGCGUAAAGCGCGCGUAGGCCGUUGAGUUAGUUAAUUGUGAAAUCCCAAAGCUUAACUUUGGAACUGCAAUUAAAACUGCUCGACUAGAGUUUGAUAGAGGAAAGCGGAAUACAUAGUGUAGAGGUGAAAUUCGUAGAUAUUAUGUAGAACACCAGUUGCGAAGGCGGCUUUCUGGGUCAACACUGACGCUGAGGCGCGAAAGUAUGGGUAGCAAAGAGGAUUAGAUACCCUCGUAGUCCAUACCAUAAACGAUGAUUGCUAGAUGUUGGAAAUUUAUUUUCAGUAUCGCAGCUAACGCAUUAAGCAAUCCGCCUGGGGAGUACGACCGCAAGGUUAAAACUCAAAUGAAUUGACGGGGACCCGCACAAGCGGUGGAGCAUGUGGUUUAAUUCGAAGAUACGCGCAGAACCUUUACAACCCUUGACAUGUCUGUCGCGAGUUUAGGAAACUAGAACUUUCGGUUCG